rnacentral:rRNA from 1 species
AUGAACGCUGGCGGCGUGCCUAAUACAUGCAAGUCGAGCGAACGGACGAGAAGCUUGCUUCUCUGAUGUUAGCGGCGGACGGGUGAGUAACACGUGGAUAACCUACCUAUAAGACUGGGAUAACUUCGGGAAACCGGAGCUAAUACCGGAUAAUAUUUUGAACCGCAUGGUUCAAAAGUAAAAGACGGUCUUGCUGUCACUUAGAGAUGGAUCCGCGCUGCAUUAGCUAGUUGGUAAGGUAACGGCUUACCAAGGCAACGAUGCAUAGCCGACCUGAGAGGGUGAUCGGCCACACUGGAACUGAGACACGGUCCAGACUCCUACGGGAGGCAGCAGUAGGGAAUCUUCCGCAAUGGGCGAAAGCCUGACGGAGCAACGCCGCGUGAGUGAUGAAGGUCUUCGGAUCGUAAAACUCUGUUAUUAGGGAAGAACAUAUGUGUAAGUAACUGUGCACAUCUUGACGGUACCUAAUCAGAAAGCCACGGCUAACUACGUG